UGCAGUCGAGCGGUAACAGAUCCAGCUUGCUGGAUGCUGACGAGCGGCGGACGGGUGAGUAACGCAUAGGAAUUUACCCGGUAGUGGGGGAUAACCUGGGGAAACUCAGGCUAAUACCGCAUACGUCCUACGGGAGAAAGGGGGCUUUGGCUCCCGCUAUCGGAUGAGCCUAUGCCGGAUUAGCUGGUUGGUGAGGUAAUGGCUCACCAAGGCGACGAUCCGUAGCUGGUCUGAGAGGAUGAUCAGCCACAUCGGGACUGAGACACGGCCCGAACUCCUACGGGAGGCAGCAGUGGGGAAUAUUGGACAAUGGGGGCAACCCUGAUCCAGCCAUGCCGCGUGUGUGAAGAAGGCCCUCGGGUUGUAAAGCACUUUCAGCGAGGAAGAACGCCUGGUGGUUAAUACCCGCCAGGAAAGACAUCACUCGCAGAAGAAGCACCGGCUAACUCCGUGCCAGCAGCCGCGGUAAUACGGAGGGUGCAAGCGUUAAUCGGAAUUACUGGGCGUAAAGCGCGCGUAGGUGGCUUGAUAAGCCGGUUGUGAAAGCCCCGGGCUCAACCUGGGAACGGCAUCCGGAACUAUGAGGCUAGAGUGCAGGAGAGGAAGGUAGAAUUCCCGGUGUAGCGGUGAAAUGCGUAGAGAUCGGGAGGAAUACCAGUGGCGAAGGCGGCCUUCUGGACUGACACUGACACUGAGGUGCGAAAGCGUGGGUAGCAAACA
rnacentral:rRNA from 1 species